rnacentral:rRNA from 1 species
UCCCAAAGCUCCCGGCSCUUAGGAUGGAUCUGCGGCCGAUUAGGUCGUUGUGGGUAACGCCCAACAAGCCGAUAAUCGGUACGGUGUGGAGCAGAGCCCGGAGUUGGAUUCUGAGACACGAAUCCAGGCCCUACGGGGCGCAGCAGGCGCGAAAACUUUACAAUGCGGGCAACCGUGAUAAGGGAACCUCGAGUGCCUGUACAUGCAGGCUGUCUGGGUGUCUAAAACACACCCAAAGAAAGGGCCGGGCAAGACCGGUGCCAGCCGCCGCGGUAAUACCGGCGGCUCGAGUGGUGGCCACUUUUAUUGGGCUUAAAGCGUUCGUAGCUGGGUUGUUAAGUCUCUUGGGAAAUCUGGCAGCUUAACUGUCAGGCGUCUAAGAGAUACUGGCAAUCUAGGAACCGGGAGAGGUGAGGGGUACUUCGGGGGUAGGAGUGAAAUCCWGWAAUCCUCGAGGGACCACCUGUGGCGAAGGCGCCUCACCAGAACGGCUUCGACAGUGAGGGACGAAAGCUGGGGGAGCAAACCGGAUUAGAUACCCGGGUAGUCCCAGCCGUAAACGAUGUGCGUUAGGUGUAUCGACGACCACGAGUCGUCGAGGUGCCGAAGGGAAACCGUGAAACGUACCGCCUGGGAAGUACGGUCGCAAGGCUGAAACUUAAAGGAAUUGGCGGGGGAG